CCUUUCGCUCACGAGCCCGACUUUUGGUUUCUGUGAUUUUGUUGUUUUGGCGCUAGGCUAUUUUGACUCUCAAGCUGAGCUCACUCAACUUUCGCGCAGCUUAAAGCGGCCAGAGCAACAACAACUCGUUGCAGUAGCCACAGCGGCAGCAUUCACGUACAGUGGUUCACGUUUAUGACUCGUCAGUUUUUAGGAACUUAUUAUAGAAGGAAAAUUAUAUAUGUAUGUAUAUGUACAUAAAUAUAUGUAUGUUUGUUAAAAGAGACUUCAAAGAUAUUACAGGUGUUUUUGGAAUUAAUAAGUUAACGGUUUACCCUCUCCAUAAAGGUAUUUCAAAUCGUUUUAAGCCCCAAAAUGUAGUCGGGCACUUAUUUAAACCUUGAUUGGGCGGGCAAGUGUUGCUAUUCCGCAGCUGUAUGAUUACAUUCUAUUUCUCAUACGAGAAAAAAAUCUACAUUUUAUUUUUGAAAAUAAAGUUGUUAAAAAGAAAGCGGCUUUUAUCCGCAAAAUCACGGAUCUCAACGCAGCUUUUAUUUAUAUACAUAAUAAUGUAGUUUCGAUCAGGUUAGAAAUCAAAUCGCCUGCGUCUUAGUCGUCUGUAAAUUUUUGAAAUCGACUAGACAUCAAAACAUCAUACAUAAAAACAUCAUACAUAAAAAAUGGCGAUGUGAAGUUGGGCGUUUCACAUAUCCUCUCCCUGGAUAAAGCUAAAUAUUUAUGAAAGUGACGUUGGACGUGUGCACAUAUUGGGUCUAAGAUAAAGCCAGACUUCGUGCUAUUUCUAUUGACCGUGAGAAUUUAGAUACUAUUGUUGGUGUGUAAGGCUGAAACAGAAGAUAUCCAAGGGCCAGGAGGGAGAGAAGCUUCUCUCUAAAGUCGAUUCCAUCAACAUAACCUUACAAAAGCUAUAGCCCUAAGCUAAUUUGCAAUAAUCGUAUAUUGAACCUAUUAGCCAGGGGAAUCCAAUAAAGAGCAUACGACCCUGUGGGUGCUGCCAUCCCCUUCUACACCCACACUUCAACGGACUGAGAAGGGGGUGUGGUCAAUGGGCGGCAUCGAAGUCUCCAUGGAAUGGCACAACACGCGAACGGCGAGCAUGCAAGAGGCAACGAUACAAAACGCUAGCGCAGCGGUGACGAAAACGCUGAAACAACAACUACAUCUACAACUGCAAAAGCCGACAGCAAGUUGAAUGACAUAAACCAUCAACUGACCUUCAACUCUGAGACUGAACCUUAGAAAAAACGAACACAUAGCCUCAUGCAAAUGGGAAUGCGAGAGUGGCGCAUGCAACUUACAGCUUUACAGCUCGUUCGUUGUGGGAAAGAGAUGUCGGGUGAGAGGAAGAGGAAAUCGCCUAAAGCACUGAGCCGUAACGAAAAUUGUUGUUGCAACCAGACCCCCGCUCUCUCUCGCACUAAUACUUCCACAGCCAGUGCACACCACCCCCCUAUCCAACACACCCAUAGCCCCUGUAAUGGGCGGCAGCAGAGGAAGUCGGCGGACAAUUGCGCAUGAUACGCUCCAGAUUCUAGAGGUGGGAGAGUGAAGAGCGAUGAGUCACGACGAACUGAUCGAAAGGUGAUCCCAUAAUGAUCCACUGCUUGUGCAGAUGGUUUUACGAUAGGGGCGGAAAAUGAAACCUGAAAACGGGAGAAGAUGAGACCACCAAAGUACACCCAGUGCCGAUGACGUAAAUUGCCGAUGGAUGCCGAUGAACGGAGCAUGCUCUUGCACUUGGCAGACUGCAACAGCUCUCUGCGAAGAGGACUACAACUACUAUGGAAGGGCGUUGUACAAUUGAACAGAUAUGUACAUGAUGUUACGAAGGUUGAGGACGGGUGCGAUAGUUACAAGUAAAAUGCACAAAAUGUUCUUAAAACUCACAUCUGGGUCAUUUCUAGCAUAAUUUAUAGGCGUUAAAAUCGAAAUCCUUGACGUCAGAUAGUGAAACUAAAGAUUACAUGUGGUCGAAUUAUAGUAAUGUCCUUAACAUUGUAGCACUAACAAACACAAGUUUUGAUAUCAACUCAACCUUUUUUUUUUCCACAAUUAACAUUAAUUUAUUUAUUACUUCUUCGAUAAAUACGGAGGGAACUGCGAUAAAAAUUGAAUAACACUAAUUUCCUUUGUAUUGUAAUCAACAUUUUUUUUUUAGAAUAUUUACUCUACAGUAUUUAAGUAUUGUUGUAUCAUAUUUCAGAAAGAAAAUUAUAAAGUACAACUUGCAAGAAAGAA
rnacentral:sRNA from 13 species